GCACUCAGAGGGGACAGCCAGCCACUGUCACCACGAUGGGCAGAGGAACCAAGGUGCAGAGGAGCUGGGACCCUCCCCAGGCAGGGAGAACCUGCUCCAAGCCUCCAUCCCCUACAAGAGCCACCAGGGGCUUGGCGCUGGUGGAUGCGAGGAUGGUGUUCUCAGGCCCAGAUGCCAUACGUGAUCACAGAACAAGGAGGGCUGAACACACUCACUACACAGGAGAGACAUCUCCAGCAAUAGAGGGUACCAGUGAUGCUAACUACUUGUGGCGGCCAGCCUCCUGUUCAUGUGCACCACCUCGCAGAUCUGACUGCCCUGGAGAAACUGGGUGGGGUGUGAGAGAGCUCAGCCAUUUCUCCAGGAAAAAUCUCCAGAGCGGAGUGCAGAUCAAGAGAGGACCCAUUUGGCAGUCUGCUGAAGACCAAGCCACACACCAAUACCAAAGUCCAUGAACAAGGCUAAUCUCUUAUAGCUGCUCAAAGGUACUUUUUUUUUUUUUUUCUCUCCAGAAAGGCAGCCCACUCCCUACGUUCUCAAACAACAAGGCCAUGGUCCACAGGCCAGGCUCACCUGGGACUUGGGCAGAUAUGAAGGCUACCUUCACCCACACAGCAAAUGGGCAGCUGUGAUUCAGGCAGCCCAGUCACCAGCACUUCCCAAAUCAAAAGGGAUGACCACUUCAAAGACAAAAACAAGAAGCGCGUGCAGAACCUCAGUAUCAAAUAUUUAAUCAUCCAGCAGGCGGAGACAACAAUUAGAAUCAGUAGUAGCAAAUACCUCCAGGCCAUCGUCUGGUGUAUAUUUUAAGUUUAAUGGAAACCAUAAGUAUUAAAGAUGAAAUCUUGUGCAAGCAGUUCUGCUAAUUAAAAAAAAACAGAAAAAAGACUCAUGCUCAUGGGUAGCCUACCAUACAUUUUUCUGAUGGUCUUGAGCAAGUUGCUGUUGAGAGUAGUUUGAUCUGUUUGCUUCAAGCGAGUUUUCACUAAAGCCAUUAUAAUCAUAACACUUCUGAUUCUAGCCUAAAGGAAAACAUUCUUACCUUCUCUACUACAGGUAACUAAUACAAAAAGCCUGUUAGGACUUCCCCGGUGGUUCAGGUAAGCAUGCAGCUGAUUCCCAAAGUGACAGUUCAACAUAUUUCAAUUCCACUACUCAUAAGCUAAAGGACUAUAGAUUAUUUUUUUUAUUAUUAUUAAGAGGAAGUAAGGAAGAAUUUCACAUUGUUCUAAGAUUCUUUAGAAAAGAUUAUCUGCUACUCCUGAAAGCCAGCAAAGAAUCAAAAGACUUUCCUCCUCAAGCUCAUUACAUGAAUCCAUUUUGUUCAAGAUGUCCAGUGAGGUACAGAAGAGCAGUAAAAAAAAAAGUUGAUGCUAGCUUCCUCUGCAACUUCUCAUUGACUGAACAGGAAAAAAAAUGAAGUCAAAAAUCAGAGGAGUAGCUUAAAAUGAGCUAGAAGGUGCAGGUAAAAUCUUUGUCAUACUGCUGACAAGCAACAGUUGCCGUCUCCACUGCCCUCUCACCCUGGCAUACUACACAACUCUGCAGUAAGGUUGCCAGUCAAGCAUCACAAAAUCAUCAGCACUUGUAUUUUAUCCAGUCUCAGGUUGGGUUUUGUUUUUUGUUGUGCCAUAAAAAAAUACUCUUCUGAUCAAUAACUGCAGAUCAAGAAACAUACACUUUUAAUCUUCAUACAUACUGCCUUACGCAUUUCUGACCUAUGCUAUUAUAUAUGCUUUUGUCAAAAUUUAAGUCAAAUAGAAUCACCAUUAAAAAAUGGACUUCUCCCCCAAGAGUUGAACGGAACACCCACCUUCCAUUCAUCCAUUAUUCUGUUCCUGUUAACAAAGACCUACAAACUCUGACAGAAGGUUCAAAGUGUCUUCAAUGUGGAUUAUAGAAAAACAAAAAUUACGAGCUACUAGGACUGCCAUUUUACUGUUUGUUUUUUUUUUAAGGAAGGAAAUAAAAUUAUUCCACCUCCAAAAGCCACUACACCACACGAAGCAUUCAGAAGUUGCAUAUACUAGGGCAGAACUGGAAGUAGUACUUCAGCUGCAGAAACAACUAAUGAGUUCAAAAAUGCCAAAAUUUAAGGUGUUCCCAUGCAAACAUGAUAUAAUUCUAACCUAAGUUGCAUGUUUUUCAAUAUAAAAAAGUAUCCAGAAAGGACACUGAUGUACUUGACCCUAGUACUUGACUUCAAGUAUUUAAAUUAAUACCACUAAUUUUAUCCAAAGCAGCAUCAAUUAAUACUAUUUUCAGUUGUUAAUGUUCAGUUCCACCUUCCUCUUCUGUCUGCUAGCAGUCAUUACACAAGCUUCCUACAAAUAAAGUUUCUCAAGGCUAUCUGCUGAAGACCAAGCCAGUUCUGUUUACUCAAAAGAAGACUACAGAAAAAAGAUACACAACUUCCCCCCAGCUACAACUGUGUUAAAAAUUGUGUUAUAAUUACUGCUGCCAGACUUGUGGGUAACUUUGCUGUAAUCAGCCAAAACAGCUAUCAAAAAGCAUUACUGAUCUGCUCUGAUGAACUCUACUACUAAUGUGGAGAGAAAAGGAUGCUAUGGGAUGGGAAGCAUGCACUAUGAGAAAGUAACAUCCCCUGCUGCAAUCCAUCUAACCCCAAGUGUUUCAGGUUUCAGUCUCCUCCCAAGAAUGCUGUAGGCAUGUCUGCCAGAUGGUCUGAAACAGCGCUGGCUGACAGGGUGGGCUAGACUAUGCAUAAAACACAAAGGUCAAGUAAACAUGCCAAUACACGUGUAACUGGGGAUAGAGAAGAGGCAUCCACUAGGUGAGGUUGGUAAAAAAACAACAAAACAAGAAUAAAAAAUUGUAUGGUAGUAAAAGUAGAGAAUGAGGAAAUUAAACAAAAUCUAAGCCAAAUUUCACAACUCUAAUCAUAAAUACAAUCACGCUAAAGUUGCCUAAGCAACUUUCGUUCUGUCUUAUUUUGGAGCAGCUGACUUUAAUCUUGGUCUAUUACAAGUAAACUAAGUUAAAAACAGUAUCUGUAACUGGACUGUAGCAUGCAUUCUUUUAAAUACAUUGUACCAACUUUGCUAUACCAAUAAAAUAAUAUCUGAAACAACCCAAUAAAAUACACAGUGUGCAAAACUCUGUAUUUGCUAUUUAAAACUAAACAAUUUUCAUUAGCUUCAGUUUUCA